UUAUACUUCAAUUGUUUGGUUGUGGAAAAAAUUUCUAAUCUAAUAUGUGGGCGCGUCUUUUUACUGAAUGCAAAUGCAGCCGAGUCAACAAAUUUUUGAUUCCUUUACCGAAUUAUGAAACUCCGCUUCAUAUUCCAAUGCCAGAGUCGAGAGUGCACGAAAAGCAAAACAGCGCGUCUCUAAAAUCUAGGUGUUAAUACAGUCGGACGGACGGACGGAGAGACGGACACGGCUGAGUCGUCUCGUUUGUUGAAACUGCGGGCACAAUGCUAUAAUACCCUUGUAUCCUAUGGGUAGCGGGUAUAAAAAUAUUAUUUUAAAAUCUAUAAAAAUGAGAAAAGAAAAGGAUAUGUAAUGCUUGCUGUACAAAUUAAUUAAAGAGCUGCGUACUUCAUAUUUUGCUUUUGACUUUAUUAUUAACUAAAGUUGGCUUAGAAUUUUGUAUCUCUUUUCCGUUCAAUUGAAAUAAUGCAGAUAAUCAUAUUGGUUGCGUUUAAUUUUGUAGACAAGCACAACCAUAAAAGAACAAAUUUAUUAACACGUAAUGAUAAUAUUCAAGAAUGUCCACUAAAAAGUAGCCACAUCAUCUGCGACUCCAACAACAGCCGAAUCGAUGAAGACAUGUCUGUGUCAACACUUCAAUAGCGAAUUUUAUUUCAAAAGCGGACAACAUAGCUGAAACACUGACCUAGUUUGCGGCACAACAGGGUUUGUUGCAAAUCCUCCCUUUUUCCUCUAAUAUUAACAAUUUAUUCAGACAUCGUCGUAAAACCUUUCCCAUCCAAUAUAGCGAUGGACUGAGCCACAGACAUUCGUGUGCCAGGCUCAGCAUAUCAAAAUCACCUAGAUUUUUCCUCGAAAGAAUCAUAAAUGCGUUCUCGUCUACCUGUGCGCUAUAUGAAGGUAAUCUAGAUCGUAGUCAGUCGGGCUAAUGCAACAUUUUCUGGUAGAGCACUUACAAAACAAAUGUUCAGAACAGUCACUGAGCAGAAUCCUGAAUUUAAGAAUUUAAGCAGUGGACACUUUACUGAACAAAGUCUCGAAAAGUCAUUACGUGACAUGUCACCCAAUAUAUUAUAUACAAUUAUUGUAUACAUAGUUAUAUAAUAUACAAUUUACAUGAUUCAGUUAUCCCAUUAAAAUUAAAAAUUAAAAGUU